rnacentral:rRNA from 1 species
UACGUAGGGUGCGAGCGUUGUCCGGAAUUAUUGGGCGUAAAGAGCUCGUAGGCGGUCUGUUAAGACCGAUGUGAAAUCCCCGGGCUUAACCUGGGAACUGCAUUGGUGACUGGCAGGCUUUGAGUGUGGCAGAGGGAGGUAGAAUUCCACGUGUAGCAGUGAAAUGCGUAGAGAUGUGGAGGAAUACCGAUGGCGAAGGCAGCCUCCUGGGCCAACACUGACGCUCAUGCACGAAAGCGUGGGGAGCAAACAGG